UGUGUGUGUGUAUAUGUAUGUGUGCAUGCACAUGCCUGGGUGAUUAAAAAAAAAUAGUACAACGAAUGCCAGUGCCACUUGCCAUCCAACAAAAGGAAGA
rnacentral:miRNA from 1 species